UACGUAGGGUGCAAGCGUUGUCCGGAAUUAUUGGGCGUAAAGAGCUCGUAGGCGGCUUGUCGCGUCGGCUGUGAAAACCUGGGGCUCAACCCCGGGCCUGCAGCCGAUACGGGCAAGCUAGAAUUCGGUAGGGGAGACUGGAAUUCCUGGUGUAGCGGUGAAAUGCGCAGAUAUCAGGAGGAACACCGGUGGCGAAGGCGAGUUCCUGGACAGUAACUGACGCUGAGGCACGAAGGCCAGGGGAGCAAACGGG
rnacentral:rRNA from 1 species